GAUGAAGAACGUAGCGAAAUGCGAUAAGUAAUGUGAAUUGCAGAAUUCAGUGAAUCAUCGAAUCUUUGAACGCAUCUUGUGCUCCUUGGUAUUCUGAGGAGCAUGCCUGUUUGAGUGUCAUUAAAUUCUCAACUACACUGACUUUGAAUUGGUGUGGCUUGGAUUUGGGGGGAAAAUUGUUGUGGGCUUUUUGUAUAGUCUGCUCCCCUGAAAUUGAUUAGCGGUACCUUUGUGGAACUGUCUACAGGUGUGAUAAUUAUCUACAUCUUAGACAUCUGCUGGAAUGCUGCUUUCUAAACCUUACUUGUAUUGACAAUCUUGACCUCAUAUCAGGUAGGACUACCCGCUGAACUUAAGCAUAUCAAUAAGCGGAGGA
rnacentral:misc_RNA from 1 species